GAAAAUGCGAUAUGCAGUGUGAAUUGCAGAACCACGAAUCAUCGGAUAUUUGAACGUAACUAGCGCUAGUAUACCUAGCAUGUUUGGUUCAGUGUGCGCAACAAACUAUCUAAGCAAAGUGUUGGAGAAGUUCUCCAAUCAAGUUCAUGCUCUCAGUAGCAGUCGGAGAAAUCUGAGCACUGAUUGAUAAAUGUCUUAUUUGCACCUGAACUCAAGCAAGAUGACCCGCUGGACUUAA
rnacentral:misc_RNA from 1 species